GGGUGAUUAGCUCAGCGGUAGAGCGCUGUCCUCACACGACAGAUGUCACAGGUUCAAAUCCUGUAUCACCCACCA
rnacentral:tRNA from 1 species